AGAGUUUGAUCCUGGCUCAGGACGAACGCUGGCGGCACGCUUAACACAUGCAAGUCGAACGAGAGAUGAGGAGCUUGCUUUUCUGAUCUAGUGGCGGACGGGUGAGUAACACGUGAGCAAUCUGCCUUUCAGAGGGGGAUACCGAUUGGAAACGAUCGUUAAUACCGCAUAACAUAAUUGAACCGCAUGAUUUGAUUAUCAAAGAUUUAUCGCUGAAAGAUGAGCUCGCGUCUGAUUAGCUAGUUGGUAAGGUAACGGCUUACCAAGGCGACGAUCAGUAGCCGGACUGAGAGGUUGAUCGGCCACAUUGGGACUGAGACACGGCCCAGACUCCUACGGGAGGCAGCAGUGGGGAAUAUUGCACAAUGGAGGAAACUCUGAUGCAGCGAUGCCGCGUGAGGGAAGAAGGUUUUAGGAUUGUAAACCUCUGUCUUCAGGGACGAAAAAAGACGGUACCUGAGGAGGAAGCUCCGGCUAACUACGUGCCAGCAGCCGCGGUAAUACGUAGGGAGCGAGCGUUGUCCGGAAUUACUGGGUGUAAAGGAAGCGUAGGCGGGAUCGCAAGUCAGAUGUGAAAACUAUGGGCUUAACCCAUAAACUGCAUUUGAAACUGUGGUUCUUGAGUGAAGUAGAGGUAAGCGGAAUUCCUAGUGUAGCGGUGAAAUGCGUAGAUAUUAGGAGGAACAUCAGUGGCGAAGGCGGCUUACUGGGCUUUAACUGACGCUGAGGCUCGAAAGCGUGGGAAGCAAACAGGAUUAGAUACCCUGGUAGUCCACGCCGUAAACGAUGAUUACUAGGUGUGGGGGGACUGACCCCUUCCGUGCCGCAGCAAACGCAAUAAGUAAUCCACCUGGGGAGUACGACCGCAAGGUUGAAACUCAAAGGAAUUGACGGGGGCCCGCACAAGCAGUGGAGUAUGUGGAUUAAUUCGAAGCAACGCGAAGAACCUUACCAGGUCUUGACAUCGUAUGCAUAGCUCAGAGAUGAGUGAAAUCUCUUCGGAGACAUAUAGACAGGUGGUGCAUGGUUGUCGUCAGCUCGUGUCGUGAGAUGUUGGGUUAAGUCCCGCAACGAGCGCAAUCCUUACUGUUAGUUGCUACGCAAGAGCACUCUAGCAGGACUGCCGUUGACAAAACGGAGGAAGGUGGGGAUGACGUCAAAUCAUCAUGCCCCUUAUGACCUGGGCCUCACACGUACUACAAUGGCUGUCAACAGAGGGAAGCAAAGCCGCGAGGUGGAGCGAACCCCUAAAAGCAGUCUUAGUUCGGAUUGUAGGCUGCAACCCGCCUACAUGAAGUCGGAAUUGCUAGUAAUCGCAGAUCAGCAUGCUGCGGUGAAUACGUUCCCGGUCCUUGUACACACCGC
rnacentral:rRNA from 1 species